rnacentral:pre_miRNA from 1 species
GUAUGAAUCACCUGGAGAUCUUGUUAAAAUUCAGAUUCUGGUUCAGCAGGCUGGGGUGGGCACUGUGAUUCUACAUUUCUUGCAAGCUCCCAGGUGAUUCUGAU